AACGAACGCUGGCGGCAUGCCUAACACAUGCAAGUCGAACGAGACCUUCGGGUCUAGUGGCGCACGGGUGCGUAACGCGUGGGAAUCUGCCCUUGGGGUUCGGAAUAACAGUGAGAAAUUACUGCUAAUACCGGAUGAUGACGUAAGUCCAAAGAUUUAUCGCCCAAGGAUGAGCCCGCGUAUGAUUAGCUAGUUGGUGGGGUAAAGGCCUACCAAGGCGACGAUCUUUAGCUGGUCUGAGAGGAUGAUCAGCCACACUGGGACUGAGACACGGCCCAGACUCCUACGGGAGGGCAGCAGUGGGGAAUAUUGGACGAAUGGGCGAAAGCCUGAUCCAGCAAUG
rnacentral:rRNA from 1 species